rnacentral:rRNA from 1 species
AGUGAACGCUGGCGGUAGGCCUAACACAUGCAAGUCGAACGGCAGCACAGUAAGAGCUUGCUCUUACGGGUGGCGAGUGGCGGACGGGUGAGGAAUACAUCGGAAUCUACUUUUUCGUGGGGGAUAACGUAGGGAAACUUACGCUAAUACCGCAUACGACCUACGGGUGAAAGCAGGGGAUCUUCGGACCUUGCGCGAUUGAUUGAGCCGAUGUCGGAUUAGCUAGUUGGUGGGGUAAAGGCCCACCAAGGCGACGAUCCGUAGCUGGUCUGAGAGGAUGAUCAGCCACACUGGAACUGAGACACGGUCCAGACUCCUACGGGAGGCAGCAGUGGGGAAUAUUGGACAAUGGGCGCAAGCCUGAUCCAGCCAUACCGCGUGGGUGAAGAAGGCCUUCGGGUUGUAAAGCCCUUUUGUUGGGAAAGAAAAGCAGCAGGUUAAUACCCCGCUGUUCUGACGGUACCCAAAGAAUAAGCACCGGCUAACUUCGUG